rnacentral:lncRNA from 10 species
CCCAGGUGAAAUAAACAGCCAUGUUGCUCACACAAAGCCUGUUUGGUGGUCUCUUCACACGGACGCACAUGAAAUUUGGUGCCGUGACUCAGAUCGGGGGACCUCCCUUGGGAGAUCAAUCCCCUGUCCUCCUGCUCUUUGCGAAAGAUCCACCUACGACCUCAGGUCCUCGGACCGACCAGCCCAAGAAACAUCUCACCAAUUUCAAAUCCGUGCUGCUUGACCCCAAUACAAACUCGACAGUAGUUCCAAAUAGCCGGAAAAUGGCACUUUCAAUUUUUCCAUCCUACAAGAUCUAAAUAAUUCUUGUCGUACAAUGGGCAAAUGGUCUGAGGUGCCUGACAUCCAGGCAUUCUUUUACACAUCGGUCCCUCUCUAGUCUCUGUUCCCAAUGCAACUCGUCCCAAAUCUUCCUCCUUUCCCUCCCGCCUGUCCCCUCAGUCCCAACCCCAAGCGUCGCUGAGUCUUUCUAAUCUUCCUUUUCUACAGACUCAUCUGACCUCUCCCCUCCUCCCCAGGCUGCUCCUCGCCAGGCCGAGCUAGGUCCCAAUUCUUUCUCAGCCUCCGCUCCUCCACCCUAUAAUCCUUUUAUCACCUCCCCUCCUCACACACAGUCUGGCUUACAGUUUCGUUCCGUGACUAGCCCUCCCCACCUGCCCAGCAAUUUACUCUUAAAAAGGUGGCUGGAGCUAAAGGCAUAGUCAAGGUUAAUGCUCCUUUUUCUUUAUCCCAAAUCGGAUAGCGUUUAGGCUCUUUUUCAUCAAAUAUAAAAAUCCAGCCCAGUUCAUGGCUCGUUUGGCAGCAACCCUGAGACGCUUUACAGCCCUAGACCCUAAAAGUUCAAAAGGCCGUCUUAUUCUCAAAAUACACUUUAUUACCCAAUCUG